GACGAACGCUGGCGGCGUGCUUAACACAUGCAAGUCGAACGGAAAGGCCCUGCGUUUGUGGGGUGCUCGAGUGGCGAACGGGGGAGUAACACGUGAGUAAACUGCCCUUGACUGUGGGAGAUCUUCAGGAAACUGUGGCGAAUACCGGAUAGGAGCUCCUGCUGCAUGGGGGGGGUUGGAAAGUUUCGGCGGUGGGGGCUGGACUCGCGGCUUAUCAGCUUGUUGGGGGGGUAGUGGAUUACCACGGCUUUGACGGGUAGGCGGCCUGAGAGGGUGGCCGGCCACCUUGGGCCUGCGGUACGGCCCAGUAGCCUACCGGCCGCAGCAGUCGGGAACCUUGCACAAUGGGCGGAAGCCUGAUGUGGCAACGCCGCGUGCGUGAUGCCCGCCUUCGGGUUGUAAACCGCUUUCGCCUGUGCCGAAGAGUGCGUGACGGUAAUGGGUCAAGAAGCACCGGCUAACUACGUG
rnacentral:rRNA from 1 species